UAAAAGGAAUCAAAAUUGCAUUUACACAAAUCAAAGUUGAAGCACAAGAAGAAGAAGAUGGUAGUUUGUUGGUGAUUGUGGUUCCAAAAUUGUUGUUGAUUAUCUCUUUCUAUUAGCCUGAUAUUUCAUCUAUUUUAAUUUGUUUGUUAUACUUUUUUUUAUAGUCUGUUUCGUCAUUUAUCAAUUUAAAUUUUGAAUUCGCCUCUACGUUACAUAGAUAUAUUAGACACAACAUUCCAAUCUUGGAACCACAGUUACCACCAUACUAUCAAAUUUCUCAGCCAGGAUUCAUUAAUCAAUUGGGAGUGUGUUUAACAGGUUUGGCUAUAAAAGGAGCGGUCAUUUUUUUCCUUUAAAUAAAAUAGAGUUAUCCUAUUAUUUGCCUUCCUCAGAUGAGACCCUCAUUACUAGGGAUGAAUCAAAUUGACAUAUUGCACGUUGUUGGACCUUCUUUAGCACCAAUUGGCAGGCCCAUUCCGAAGAAAACAUGCCCAACAUAAUUUUUAUUCAAAUCACGUAUUGUAGGACUCAUUCUGAAGACAACGCUUUGAAUAGAUUUUUUUCUAUACCAAGACUCAAUUUUGAUGUUCCCUACUUUAUGUACUGUGAGUCACUGGACAUUUGGAAGUCUGACCAAGUUCCUUCAAAGGUUGACCAAAUCUAAACUCAACUUUUUUUUUCAUACAUAUUAUAUGUUUAUCGGCUAUUUUUAAUUUAAACGAUUGAAUCGACAAUUAUCAUAAAUAAAUUAAAUUAAGUAACAAAACUAAGAGAUAGAUUUCACUAACAAUACUCAACUAUGUAUAAAUUUCUUACAUUAACGAUAUAUAUAACUCAAACUCGCUAAACAUGUACUUAAUCUCCAUAGUUAGGGCAAAAUAGGUUGUCCAAAGAAGGCAACUCUAAUUUCAUUAAGUUAUCAAGAUUAGUACUAGGAUUAUUAGACUUAAACUUUGACAUUUUCACAUGAUCAGACUCCACUGAUCCUGCAUCCUUGCCUGUUAGUUUCUGAACUAUUGAUUUGAAAUUCCUUGCAUCUGUCUCGAUAUACUCCGUGUUGAUUAUCACCACCUUCACCUUAUCCUUGUCAUUUCUGUCUGUUGACAUGUUCUCUGUACUUCUGAAUUAGUCGAGACAGUAAAUUUUGAAUAUCACUCUAGAUACAAACUCAAGCUAAGAUUCUGCUUAUAAACGUAAUGAUAUAAUUAAACUUUAUCUGACUGUGAAAUCGAAUAAAUACUAAAGUCAAUCACACAUCUACGAUUAUCUCAAAAUAUAGAAAUAUCGAAAACGAAGAAUUCAAUCUAGGAUUCUUG